AUUCUGUAGAAUUCUUUCCUUUUCGAUCAAUAUUUUUCUUAUUUCAUUUAGUAUGUAUUCUAUUUAAGUUAGGGAUUUAUGCCCUUGUAAUAUUAAGGAAAAGUGAAAUAUUUUCACAUGGUAUCAGAGAAUCAAACAAAAAAAAAUCCUAACCCUAAUUUUAGUACUGCCACUGUCGUAACCAGCCACUGUCGUACCCAGCCCCGCUGCCGUCGUCACGAGUUGUCGUCGUUUCCGCAUGUUUCCACCUAUCUACAUGUUUCCUUCGAUCGUUUCCUUCUAUCGAUCCGAGCAGAUCUGAUCCGCACGUUUUUUGCUGAUCCGAGCAGAUCUGAUUCGGUUCGAGCAACACUGCCGCCGUUUACAACCUCUGCCGAUUUCGAUCCGUGCAUUUCUGCUGAUUCCGCCAUCGAUUCUUGCUCGUUUUCUACCACGAUUUUAUCCUAGAUCAGCUCGCCAACGCCACCGUACGACUGCCUUAUCUCUUCUGCCGUCGUCAAUUGGUUUUCCAAUCACAUCCUCUCAGAUUUGGUCUUCCCAUUCGCGAGUGUGUUGUUAAGAUCCAAUUACACACAACAUGUCCGACGAAAAAUCAUUGAUGGCCAAAGUUUCCGACGAUCGUAAACUUUCAAAAAUCCAAGUCACCACAAUUCGACUUAAUGGGGACAACUUCCUCCGUUGGUCCCAAAGCGUUUGGAUGUAUAUUCGUGGACAAGGGAAGAUUGGGUAUCUUACCGGUGAAAAUAAGACACCGGCCAAGACAGAUCCGUUGUCGAUGCUGAAAAUUCCACGGUCAUGACAUGGUUGGUCAAUUCCAUGAAUGAAAAAAUAUGUUCCAACUACAAGUGUUAUUGUACCACAAAGGACUUAUGGGAUAAUGUCAACUAAAUGUAUCCAGACCUUGACAACCAAGUGGAGUUUGAAUCUCAAGCUAGGUGAUAUCCGACAAGAAGGAGAUAUAGUUACACAGUACUUUCACAAGCUAACAAGAAUUUGGCAAGACUUGCAAGACUUAGAUCUUAAGUUAUGAAUGGGAAUCGACUAAGGAUCAAGCACACUACAAGAAGGUGGUGGAGGACAGUCGUGUUUACAAAUUUCUCACUAGUCUCAAUGAUGAAUUCGAAGAUGUUAGAAGUAGAGUUACUUGUAGAGAACCUCUUCCCUACAUCAAUGAAGCUUUUUCUGAGGUUUGCAGGGAGAAAAGUCGUCGAAGUCUUAUGUUGGGCAAGAAAAGCACAGACUCUAUGAGACAUCUGCCUUGAUGACUGAAACCACUGCCAAUAAGGCUUCUCUGCCAUCAAACAAACCCCAAGUAUGGUGUGAGCAUUGUAACAAACCUCACCAUACUCGUGAGACCUGUUGGAAAAUCCAUCGAAAGAAUGCAAACAGGAAGAAAAACAAGCCAAGUGAUAAAGGUAACAUCAAUCCGCACGUCCCAUUGUUAAUAGUGCCGACUCCAAUCCAUUUAAUAAAGAGCAAGUUGAUCAACUCCUGAAGCUGUUAAAGUCAAUUCGCCAUCGGGUAAUCCUAGUACUUCCAUGGCACAAACAGGUAACUUCCUCGAGCUUUCUUUUUGUCUUAAUUCAUCUCCUUGGAUCAUAGAUUCUGGAGCUUCAGACCAUAUACUAGUAUAUCUCAUUUUUUUUAUUCAUAUUCCCUUCCGUAUAGCACUAAGAAAAUUCGACUUGCAGAUUGUAGUUUCAAUUCUAUUGCAGGAAAAGGAACUAUUCGUCUGACAGAAAAAUUACAUUACACUCCGUGCUCCAUGUCCCUGAAUUAGCUUGUAAUUCAUUAUCUGUGAGUUCUUCAAAGAUUGGACGUGCUAGUCUACUUGAUGGUCUUUAUUACUUUGAUGACUCUCCGACUAGUGAUAAAAAAGAUCAGGGGACUUAAGUUCUGUUAAUUCUUCUUCUGUUCAAGAAUCAAUUAUGUUAUGGCAUUUUAGACUAGGAUAUCCCAGUUUCUUCUAUUUGAAGUUUUUGUUCCCAAACUUAUUUAAAGGAAUUGAUUGUUCAAAUUGUCAAUGUGAAAGUUGUAUCUUUGCUAAAAAUCAUUGGGUCCCAUAUUUAUCAAAA